GCUGGGCGCGGUGGCGCAUGCCUGUAAUCCCAGCUACUUGGGAGGCUGAGGCAGGAGAAUGGCUUGCACCCAGGAGGCGGAGGUUGCUGUGAGCUGAGAUUGCACCAUUGCACUCCAGCCUGGGUGACAGAGCAAGACUCUGUCUCAA
ensembl:misc_RNA Metazoa_SRP Metazoan signal recognition particle RNA